rnacentral:rRNA from 1 species
ACGGACUUCGGUCUGGUGGCGAGUGGCGAACGGGUGAGUAAUGUAUCGGAACGUACCUUUCAGUGGGGGAUAACGUAGCGAAAGUUACGCUAAUACCGCAUAUUCUGUGAGCAGGAAAGCAGGGGAUCGCAAGACCUUGCGCUGAUUGAGCGGCCGAUAUCAGAUUAGCUAGUUGGUGAGGUAAAGGCUCACCAAGGCGACGAUCUGUAGCGGGUCUGAGAGGAUGAUCCGCCACACUGGAACUGAGACACGGUCCAGACUCCUACGGGAGGCAGCAGUGGGGAAUUUUGGACAAUGGGGGCAACCCUGAUCCAGCCAUGCCGCGUGAGUGAAGAAGGCCUUCGGGUUGUAAAGCUCUUUCGGCCGGGAAGAAAUCGCAUAGGUUAAUACCCUGUGUGGAUGACGGUACCGGAAUAAGAAGCACCGGCUAACUACGUGCCAGCAGCCGCGGUAAUACGUAGGGUGCGAGCGUUAAUCGGAAUUACUGGGCGUAAAGCGUGCGCAGGCGGUUUCGUAAGACAGAGGUGAAAUCCCCCGGGCUCAACCUGGGAACUGCCUUUGUGACUGCGAAGCUAGAGUAC